rnacentral:pre_miRNA from 1 species
AUACACUAUAGGGGCGUGAUAUUCACACACCUCAUUUUACAUUUUACUUUUCACACAACAAGAGCUGUGUAAGAAGUAAAAUGGGGUGUGUGGAUAUCACACCCCUACACUAUA